rnacentral:lncRNA from 1 species
CCUAGACUAUGGGUCAUAUCUCAUUUCGAUGAUCCAUCUUUUAAUUUUAUCAAUUAAAUAAUUAAACUAUUAAUUUUUUUCACUUCUAUUCAAUUGAACCUGCCACGUCACCAAUUGAUGACGUGGCUCUCUAAGUAGGCCAUAGUGCAGCUGAUGUGUUCAAAAAAAAAUUAUUUUAAUAUCUACUUACACAUUCAUUAUACAUCAAAGGGCAAAUUCGGCAACUCACUUUAUAUUAAACAUUAAAAUUAAAUAAAAACAACUAAUUCUCGGCUGAGAAAUCCCAAUUUCCGGCGACAAACAAUGCCAUUUAAUUAGCUGAUCUUCUUCCUCCUUGCCUGCUGUGCCAACAAAGAAGCAUCACCUUUACUUUAUGACCAAAACCAACUGACACAAUCAUCACCUAUCUAAGAUCAAACCUCAAAAUUUGGAAAAACCAAAAACUCAAAAUUCCUUUAACCUAAAAACUAGACAAUUUCCAGUCCCAGAUCACUUUCUACACGAUCUUGUAUGUGAAAUCUUCUUCCAUGCCCAAAAUACCCAAUUGGUAGCUCAAAAGAUCGCACCCAAUUGUUCGGAAAUCACACGCAAACGAAAUGGAAAAAACUGAAAAAGGAAAAUGGAAGGGCCGAAGCCUUGCAUAUAUUUUUUAGGGGACUCACUUUAUUGAUUUUUUUUUUGUCUAAUCUCCGAUACCCAGUUCCAUGGAUGUGACUGGGUUGCUGCGGAUCUUGCAGUUCCCUCCCAUUUUUUACCCGAUCUGAUUUUUUGUUGCCGGAGAUUGAGUUCAUCCACCGGAGAUCGAGUCACCAAAUUCCUUUGUAGGUGACGCCUAAUUGAUUUGAGAAGGGAAAAAGUCAUCAGAAUCAAAACAAAAAUUUUCUUGUAUCAGUUUUUUAAUUAAAAAAACAAGAUCAGUGUGUUUAUAGUCGAAAGAUGAGAGAUAAUUGUUGGGAGAGAAUGGAUAGUGUUUCCGUGAAUGAUGAAGAUGAAUUGGUUCCGUAAAUGAUGAAGAUAAUUAGGGCGUUUGACGAAUUUGCCG